AUGCCCAGGAGGGAGGGGCCUGGACACAUCUCUGCCCUAGAGGAGGUGGCAACCGACAAGCUGAAGGAAAGGCUGGUUCCAGCUGUGCUCUGCUUCCUCCUCGCCCUUCUCCUGGGCACAUUCCCAGGUGCCAGGCCUCAGACCAUUCAUCAGUGGCCAGUGACCAGUGUGCAACUUCUGGGCAGCCCUCUCUGUCUGGAGUGCACUGUGAAGGGGACAUCAAACCUCUACCUCUACUGGUACCGGCAGGCCACAGGAGGCCCCCCCCAGUUGCUUUUCUAUUCCUUUGGUGUUAACCAGAUAGAGUCUGAGGGACCCCAGAACCUCUCAGCCUCUAGGUCCCAUGAAGGCCAGUUCCUACUGAGUUUUAAGAAGCUUCUCCUCAGCGACUCUGGCUUCUAUCUAUGUGCCUGGAGUAGCAAACUGAACUGGGCAGGGCUGACAUCUGUGCAAAAACUCCACCCUCCCCAGGAACCCUCACUCAGGGACUGGGUGGAGGAUAUUUGUGACUGA